GCGGGCAGGGGAGCAGCGGGCGGAGCGCAGGGGGAGCCGUCCUGUGCGCGCCUCCUUGGCCUCGGGCUGCUGCUGGUGGAGAGCUUUGGGUGGCCACCCCGGGCCGCUGCCUCCCGGAGCAACGCAGGGGAGGCCAAGACCACAGCUGUCCUGGAAAAAGGCCUGGAAGAACCGAAGGCCUGUGAUCAGGAGGAUGGACCCGCAGGCUGAGAAAAAGAAAAAAAAUCCGGAAAUAAAAGGUUGUCAUCACCUUCCGAUGCUGGAACAGAAUAUGAAGCAAUGAAUAUGUUCACUGUGGGAGCAGGUGGGAGGGGCUUACUUUAUUGAUCACAGUUUAA